AAACGGGUGGUAAUGCCGGAUGCUCCAGUUGACCGCAUGGUCCUCUGGGAAAGCUUUUGCGGUAUGGGAUGGGGUCGCGUCCUAUCAGCUUGAUGGCGGGGUAACGGCCCACCAUGGCUUCGACGGGUAGCCGGCCUGAGAGGGCGACCGGCCACAUUGGGACUGAGAUACGGCCCAGACUCCUACGGGAGGCAGCAGUGGGGAAUAUUGCACAAUGGGCGCAAGCCUGAUGCAGCGACGCCGCGUGCGGGAUGACGGCCUUCGGGUUGUAAACCGCUUUUGACUGGGAGCAAGCCCUUCGGGGUGAGUGUACCUUUCGAAUAAGCACCGGCUAACUACGUGCCAGCAGCCGCGGUAAUACGUAGGGUGCAAGCGUUAUCCGGAAUUAUUGGGCGUAAAGGGCUCGUAGGCGGUUCGUCGCGUCCGGUGUGAAAGUCCAUCGCUUAACGGUGGAUCCGCGCCGGGUACGGGCGGGCUUGAGUGCGGUAGGGGAGACUGGAAUUCCCGGUGUAACGGUGGAAUGUGUAGAUAUCGGAAAAGAACACC
rnacentral:rRNA from 1 species